GACCCCUUAGCUCAGCGGUAGAGCGUCGCAUUCCAGUCAUCACGCGUGUCGCGAAGGCCGUCCGUUCAAUCCGGGCAGGGGUCA